rnacentral:rRNA from 1 species
CGGAGGGUGCGAGCGUUGUUCGGAUUUACUGGGCGUAAAGCGCGCGCAGGUGGGUGAACAAGUCGGAAGUGAAAUCCCAGGGCUCAACCCUGGGGCUGCUCCCGAAACUGUUCGCCUAGGGACUGGUAGAGGCUGGUAGAAUUCCCGGUGUAGCGGUGGAAUGCGUAGAGAUCGGGAAGAAUACCUGUGGCGAAGGCGGCCAGCUGGGCCAGAUCCGACACUGAGGCGCGAAAGCGUGGGGAGCAAACAGGAUUAGAUACCCUGGUAGUCCACGCCGUAAACGAUGGGCACUAGGCGCUGGUGGGAGCGACCCCUUCAGUGCCGUAGCUAACGCGAUAAGUGCCCCGCCUGGGGAGUACGGCCGCAAGGCUG